rnacentral:lncRNA from 1 species
GCAGUUUUGUGACACGAAUAUAUUGCACAGAGGUGAAGUCUGGGCUUUUAGCCUACCCAUCAUCUGAAUAGCAGACAUUGCACCCAACAGAUAAUUUUGUGCAGCUGUAUCACAAUACCUGAGACUUAUAAUGGACAGUCCUGGAGGGUGAGAAGUCCAAUAUCAAGGAGCUGGGAUCUGUUUUGAGGAAUAUGCUCCUUCCUUCUCCCUUCUGGCCCUCAAGGACAUGCCUCUUCUCUUCCUGCCCCUUCAGGUAUACCAGUAUAACAACUUAAAAAAAUAUA